AAAAACAUAGCUUCUAGCCCAACAACUAUUAGAAGUAGCGCCUGCCCUGUGGGACCCCUAAACGGCCGCGGCACCAAAACCGUGCAAAGGUAGCACAAUCAUUUGUCCUUUAAAUGGGGACUCGUAUGAAAGGCAGCACGAGAGAAAACCUGUCUCCUAAGACCAGCCAAUGAAAUUGAACUACCAGUACAAAAGCUGGUAUGCUAAAGCAAGACAAAAAGACCCCGUGGAACUUAAUAACCCGUUUACACAAACUAAACAAUAACUUUAGUUGGGACAACUUUAGAAAAACUUAACCUCUAACACCACCAAGGCCAACAAGCCUGGGACAUUAAAACUGAUCCAGUCACACUGAUCAAUGAAAUAAGCUACCCCGGGGAUAACAGCGCUACCUUCUCAAAAGUCCAUAUUAACAAGAAGACCUACGACCUCGAUGUUGGAUCGGGGUAUCCCGACGGCGCAGCAGCUGUCAAAGGUUCGUUUGUUCAACGACUAACACCCCACGUGAUCUG
rnacentral:rRNA from 1 species